UAUCAGUCAGGGAGUGAGGAGAACAAUCCCAUUCCCCAGAAGAGCAGGGGAAAUGUCAGACGUAUUCCCAAAGGAAGGGAGUGAAGAGAAGAGCAGAGAUGAUGGAGGGAGCACCCCACUGUACAUCCUGAGGUCUCCAGAAGCAGAGAAAAUUUGACGCACAUCAAUCAAGACUUUCCACUUGCACUUGGUCUUAGAAUUUCAGCCGCGCAGCCGUUUAAUAAGUUCGUACACAGAGAACGGACUUUGUAGAACAUCUCAAUGAAGUUCUUCCCGGAACCCCUUUCUGCUCUGGAGGAACAGCCCAACCUUCUCCAGGCAUUUUGCACAACAGAUACUUAGUAGGU